rnacentral:rRNA from 1 species
CAGCAGCCGCGGGAAUACGUAGGUCCCGAGCGUUGUCCGGAUUUAUUGGGCGUAAAGCGAGCGCAGGCGGUUAGAUAAGUCUGAAGUUAAAGGCUGUGGCUUAACCAUAGUACGCUUUGGAAACUGUUUAACUUGAGUGCAAGAGGGGAGAGUGGAAUUCCAUGUGUAGCGGUGAAAUGCGUAGAUAUAUGGAGGAACACCGGUGGCGAAAGCGGCCCUCUGGCUUGUAACUGACGCUGAGGCUCGAAAGCGUGGGGAGCAAACAGGAUUAGAUACCCCGGUAGUCCCUGUCUCUUAUACA